rnacentral:rRNA from 2 species
UGGGGAAUAUUGCACAAUGGGCGCAAGCCUGAUGCAGCAACGCCGCGUGAGGGAUGACGGCCUUCGGGUUGUAAACCUCUUUUAGCAGGGAAGAAGCGAAAGUGACGGUACCUGCAGAAAAAGCGCCGGCUAACUACGUGCCAGCAGCCGCGGUAAUACGUAGGGCGCAAGCGUUAUCCGGAAUUAUUGGGCGUAAGGAGCUCGUAGGCGGUUUGUCGCGUCUGAUGUGAAAACCCGAGGCUCAACCUCGGGCCUGCAGUGGGUACGGGCAGACUAGAGUGCGGUAGGGGAGACUGGAAUUCCUGGUGUAGAGGUGGCAUGCGCAGAUAUCAGGAGGAACACCGAUGGCGAAGGCAGGUAUCUGGGCCGCAACUGACGCUGAGGAGCGAAAGCAUGGGGAGCGAACAGG